rnacentral:rRNA from 1 species
UACGUAGGGUGCAAGCGUUGUCCGGAAUUAUUGGGCGUAAAGCGCGUGUAGGCGGCUUUGCAAGUCGGGUGUGAAAGCCCUCAGCUUAACUGAGGAAGUGCGCCCGAAACUGCAGAGCUUGAGUACCGGAGAGGAUGGUGGAAUUCCCCAAGUAGAGGUGAAAUUCGUAGAUAUGGGGAGGAACACCGGUGGCGAAGGCGACCAUCUGGACGGAUACUGACGCUGAGACGCGAAAGCGUGGGUAGCAAACAGG